UCAACAUAUUGCUCACAUGCCUUUAUAUAUAUUUUUAUUCACAAGUGUGUGUGUGUGUGUUACGAUAAUGUCGCUGCACUUUUCAAGAAUUUCUCCGCCAUCUAUGCAUGUUCUUACAAUUUUUCUUUUUUUUUUAUUUAUUUUCAAUUUUUUAAUUUCCUCUCUUACUUUUCACUGACUGCUGCGAUGCCUUGUGCCAAUUUGCUAUAAUUUUCGUGGAAUUUGUAUAAAGUUUCGACAAACUUUCACGCCUUUUGGACGCCGGCAGAGUGUCAGCAGUACGUUGGCGCCCAAUUAUGUUGCGCCACUGGAAUGUCAUUGUGCCCGAGAAUAAUGUGUACUACCGCGGUGUUUACAAAUGAAGCUUUCGCUCGUACAUAGCGAAAUACAUACAUAUAUAUAUAUAGAUAGAUAUAUACUACGUGUAAAUAUAUAACAUAUGCAUCUAUACAUGCAUAUGAGUUUAUUUUUCAAAUGUCAAAAAUCACAGACAAAUGUGAACUUUCCGCACCGUGAAUAUGCGUAAAAUGUACAUUAAUACAAACAAAUUGCAACAACCCGCAGCAACAAUAAUAGCAUAGUAAUGCAAAAGCUGUAUGAAAGCAAAGUGGCAAUAAUAAAAUUUCGCAUUAUUUCAUUAAAAAGUUUCUUGCGUAUUUUUCCCCCACUAAACAUUCGUUAGGAAAGUCAUUGCAGUUAUAUAAUAUUCACACGUACAUACAUAUGUAUAUACAUAAAUGCAAACAUAAAAGUAGUGUUAGCAAAUAUUUUUGUACAAAAAUAACCUUCGUUGUAAGCGCCGUCUGAUGCUAAAUGCUGUGAACUCACUGGCCGACAAUAUGGAGUUACAUACAUAUCUCAAGUUAUCAGAACAGCAGCGGAUUUUCUAACUUUACUCUUAAAAUUUAAAACAUCAUGGCUCUUCCUUAUGUCAAGUUUGCUUUGCAGAUGUUAGUAAAAAUAAGAUGAGUGGAAUAAUAAUAAUAAUAAGAGGAAUCGAAAACAAAUCCACAAUAUUUUAAAUUCUUAUCCAUCUCAUGCUACUCAAUUACUACUCACGAAACUAGAACUGAUUAAGUGAGCUGAGCACUGUGCCCCCAAAUACAGAAAUCUAGUGAAACCCAGAAAAUGAGGUUGCAACUGAGAGUAUAAGAAUCUUCGGAUGAAAAGAUAUUGUUGUAGGCGUUUGCC